UACGUAGGGGGCAAGCGUUGUCCGGAAUUAUUGGGCGUAAAGCGCGCUCAGGCGGUCUUUUAAGUUAGGUGUUUCAGUCUAGGGCUCAACCUUAGGUCGCAUCUAAAACUGGGAGACUAGAGUGUAGGAGAGGAAAGUGGAAUUCCACGUGUAGCGGUGAAAUGCGUAGAGAUGUGGAGGAACACCAGUGGCGAAGGUGCAUUUCGGGCCUUUAACUGACGAUGAGGCGCGAAAGCGUGGGGCGCAAACAGG
rnacentral:rRNA from 1 species